UACGUAGGGGGCGAGCGUUGUCCGGAUUUAUUGGGCGUAAAGGGCGCGUAGGCGGACAGUUUAAGUCGGGGGUGAAAGCCCGGGGCUCAACCUCGGAAUUGCCUUCGAUACUGGCUGUCUUGAGUACGGGAGAGGUGUGUGGAACUCCGAGUGUAGAGGUGAAAUUCGUAGAUAUUCGGAAGAACACCAGUGGCGAAGGCGGCGAGCUGGUCCAUUACUGACGCUGAGGCGCGACAGCGUGGGGGAGCAAAC
rnacentral:rRNA from 1 species